rnacentral:rRNA from 1 species
UACGGAAGGCAGCAGUGGGGAAUCUUGCGCAAUGGGCGAAAGCCUGACGCAGCCAUGCCGCGUGAAUGAUGAAGGUCUUAGGAUUGUAAAAUUCUUUCACCGGGGACGAAUAAUGACGGUACCCGGAGAAGAAGCCCCGGCUAACUUCGUGCCAGCAGCCGCGGUAAUACGAAGGGGCUAGCGUUGCUCGGAAUUACUGGGCGUAAAGGGAGCGUAGGCGGACAUUUAAGUCAGGGGUGAAAUCCCGGGGCUCAACCUCGGAAUUGCCUUUUGAUACUGGGUGUCUUGAGUAUGAGAGAGGUGUGUGGAACUCCGAGUGUAGAGGUGAAAUUCGUAGAUAUUCGGAAGAACACCAGUGGCGAAGGCGACACACUGGCUCAUUACUGACGCUGAGGCUCGAAAAGCGUGGGGAGCAAAACAGGGAUUAGAUACC